UACAGAGGGUGCAAGCGUUGUUCGGAAUUAUUGGGCGUAAAGCGUCCGCAGGUGGCUGUUCAAGUCUGCUGUCAAAGCGCAGAGCUUAACUCUGUACAGGCGGUGGAAACUGAAGAGCUAGAGUAUGGUAGGGGUAGAGGGAAUUCCCGGUGUAGCGGUGAAAUGCGUAGAUAUCGGGAAGAACACCAGUGGCGAAAGCGCUCUACUGGGCCAUAACUGACACUGAGGGACGAAAGCUAGGGGAGCGAAAGGG
rnacentral:rRNA from 1 species